rnacentral:sRNA from 1 species
AUAAGUCGAGAAAGAUCAAAAUU